AGCGAACGCGGGCGGCAGGCCUAACACAUGCAAGUCGAACGAACUCUUCUGAGUUAGUGGCGGACGGGUGAGUAACACGUGGGAACGUGCCUUUAGGUUCGGAAUAACUCAGGGAAACUUGUGCUAAUACCGAAUGUGCCCUUCGGGGGAAAGAUUUAUCGCCUUUAGAGCGGCCCGCGUCUGAUUAGCUUGUUGGUGGGGUAAUGGCCCACCAAGGCGACGAUCAGUAGCUGGUCUGAGAGGAUGACCAGCCACAUUGGGACUGAGACACGGCCCAAACUCCUACGGGAGGCAGCAGUGGGGAAUCUUGCGCAAUGGGCGAAAGCCUGACGCAGCCAUGCCGCGUGGAUGAUGAAGGUCUUAGGAUUGUAAAAUCCUUUCACCGGUGAAGAUAAUGACUGUAGCCGGAGAAGAAGCCCCGGCUAACUUCGUGCCAGCCGCCGCGGUAAUAC
rnacentral:rRNA from 1 species